rnacentral:rRNA from 1 species
AACGAACGCUGGCGGCAUGCCUAACACAUGCAAGUCGAACGAUGGCUUCGGCCAUAGUGGCGCACGGGUGCGUAACGCGUGGGAAUCUGCCCUUCGGUACGGAAUAACUCAGGGAAACUUGUGCUAAUACCGUAUGAUGUCGAAAGACCAAAGAUUUAUCGCCGAAGGAUGAGCCCGCGUAGGAUUAGCUUGUUGGUGGGGUAAAGGCCCACCAAGGCGACGAUCCUUAGCUGGUCUGAGAGGAUGAUCAGCCACACUGGGACUGAGACACGGCCCAGACUCCUACGGGAGGCAGCAGUGGGGAAUAUUGGACAAUGGGCGAAAGCCUGAUCCAGCAAUGCCGCGUGAGUGAUGAAGGCCCUAGGGUUGUAAAGCUCUUUUACCCGGGAAGAUAAUGACUGUACCGGGAGAAUAAGCCCCGGCUAACUCCGUGCCAGCAGCCGCGGUAACAC